rnacentral:rRNA from 1 species
UGGGGAAUAUUGGGCAAUGGAGGCAACUCUGACCCAGCAACGCCGCGUGAGGGAAGAAGGUUUUCGGAUUGUAAACCUCUGUCCUAGGGGACGAAGAAAGUGACGGUACCCUAGGAGGAAGCCCCGGCUAACUACAUGCCAGCAGCCACGGUAAUCCGUAGGGGGCAAGCGUUGUCCGGAAUUACUGGGCGUAAAGGGUGCGUAGGCGGUAUGGUAAGUUAGAUGUGAAAUCCCAGGGCUUAACUGGGGAGCUGCAUUUAAAACUGUCAGACUAGAGUGCAUGAGAGGAAAGCGGAAUUCCUAGUGUAGCGGUGAAAUGCGUAGAUAUUAGGAGGAACACCAGUGGCGAAGGCGGCUUUCUGGACUGUAACUGACGCUGAGGCACGAAAGCGUGGGGAGCGAACA